rnacentral:rRNA from 1 species
CUUAACUCUGACACCUUGGACCUCAAAUCAGGAGACACCCGCGA